rnacentral:rRNA from 1 species
CCUACGGGUGGCAGCAGUGAGGAAUAUUGGUCAAUGGCCGAGAGGCUGAACCAGCCAAGUCGCGUGAGGGAAGAAUGUCCUAUGGAUUGUAAACCUCUUUUGUCAGGGAGCAAAGUCACCCAAGUGUGGGUGUUGGAGAGUACAUGAAGAAAAAGCAUCGGCUAACUCCGUGACAGCAGCCGCGGUAAUACGGAGGAUGCGAGCGUUAUCCGGAUGUAUUGGGGUUAAAGGGUGCGUAGGCGGGUUAUCAAGUCAGCGGUAAAAUCGUGGAGCUCAACUCCAUCCAGCCGUUGACACGGAUGAUCGUGAGUGGGCGAGAAGUAUGCGGAAUGCGUGGUGUAGCGGUGAAAUGCAUAGAUAUCACGCAGAACUCCGAUUGCGAAGGCAGCAUACCGGCGCCCGACUGACGCUGAAGCACGAAAGCGUGGGUAUCGAACAGGAUUAGAUACCCCUGUAGUC